GAGAGUCAAAGAGUGCUUGAAAUUGUCGGGAGGGAAGCGGAUGGGGGCCGGCGAUGCGCCUCGGUCGGAUGCGGAACGGCGAGAGCCGGUCCGCCGAUCGACUCGGGGCGCGGACCGAUGCGGAUUGCGGCGGCGGCCCAAGCCCGGGCUGUUGAUAUGCCUGUGGAGACGUCGUCGCCGCGAUUGUGGUAGGCAGCGCGCGCCGUCCCGGCGUGCCUCGGCAUCUGCGCGCUCCUGGCGUCGGCCCGCGGGCUCCCCAUUCGGCCCGUCUUGAAACACGGACCAAGGAGUCUGA
rnacentral:rRNA from 1 species